AACGCGAAGAACCUUACCUGGGCUCGAACGGCUUAAGACAGGGGUGGAAACACCCCCUCCCCUUAAAAGGCUUGAGUCGAGGUGCUGCAUGGCUGUCGUCAGCUCGUGUCGUGAGAUGUUGGGUUAAGUCCCGCAACGAGCGCAACCCUUGUCCUGUGUUGCCACUCCCCUUAAAAGGAAGCACUCUCAGGAGACCGCCAGCGAUAAGCUGGAGGAAGGUGGGGAUGAUGUCAAGUCAUCAUGGCCUUUAUGUCCAGGGCUACACACGUGCUACAAUGGACGGUACAAAGCGCUGCAAACCCGCGAGGGGGAGCUAAUCGCAAAAAACCGUUCUCAGUUCGGAUCGCAGGCUGCAACUCGCCUGCGUGAAGCUGGAAUCGCUAGUAAUGCCGUAUCAGAACGAUGGCGUGAAUACGUUCCCGGGCCUUGUACACACCGGUAUCUC
rnacentral:rRNA from 1 species